rnacentral:rRNA from 1 species
CGGCCAGUGAAUUCGAGCUCGGUACCCGGGGAUCCGAUCAGGCCUAACACAUGCAAGUCGAACAAAGGUAGAAAUAUCUUAGUGGCGCACGGGUGAGGAACACGUAGCUAACCUGCCCCGAAGUGCGGGAUAACGUUUCGAAAGAGACGCUAAUACCGCAUAAGCUCACGUUCUGUAGAGGGAAGUGAGAAAAGAUUUAUCGCUUUGGGAGGGGGCUGCGGCCUAUCAGGUAGUUGGUGGGGUAAAAGCCUACCAAGCCGACGACGGGUAGGGGGUCUGAGAGGAUGAUCCCCCACACUGGGACUGAGACACGGCCCAGACUCCUACGGGAGGCAGCAGUGAGGGAUAUUGCACAAUGGGGGAAACCCUGAUGCAG